GACGAACGCUGGCGGCGUGCUUAACACAUGCAAGUCGAACGGAAAGGCCAGCUUGCUGGGUACUCGAGUGGCGAACGGUGAGUAACACGUGGGUGAUCUGCCCUGCACUCUGGGAUAAGCCUGGGAAACUGGGUCUAAUACCGGAUAUGACCAACUGUCUCAUGGUAGUUGGUGGAAAGCUUUUGCGGUGUGGGAUGGGCCCGCGGCCUAUCAGCUUGUUGGUGGGGUAAUGGCCUACCAAGGCGACGACGGGUAGCCGACCUGAGAGGGUGAUCGGCCACACUGGGACUGAGACACGGCCCAGACUCCUACGGGAGGCAGCAGUGGGGAAUAUUGCACAAUGGGCGCAAGCCUGAUGCAGCGACGCCGCGUGAGGGAUGACGGCCUUCGGUUGUAACGUACUUCUACCAGGAC
rnacentral:rRNA from 1 species